GCAGCUUUAAGCUCAUGGGCUCUAAGCCUGGAAAAUGGCUCACCAAUGUAAUUUCUGCAUAUUAUCUCUCUCCCUUUCUAGACUUUAAGCUUGUUGUGAGCAAGGAACACACUAACCCUGUUGUAAUGCAGUCUCCCAAGCACUUGGUACAGUGCUCUUCACACAGGAAGCACUCAAUAAAUACCACUGAUUGACUGAUCAUGGAAGAAUGGCUGGCAAGAGCCCGACUCCAACUUCAGGAACUUGUAAGGCAGCAACUGUUCCUCCAGACCAACGCCAUCCUUUUCUCCUCUUUCGCCUGCUCUGAGUUUGUCAUUAUGGGCCUCUUUUUCUUGCUGAUUCAUGGUGGGGAAGAAAGAGGACAAGGGCAUAGGAAAAGCAACAGGAGGGACCUGCUACUGAGAAGCUUUGGCAUAAGAAUUGACAACUACGGAAAGAUGGAAGAUGGGAAGAAGAAAAGAAAGCUCCUGGAGAUAUAACUUGAAUUUGACUUGACAGUCUUUACUCAAAAUGAUUGAGAAACAUGAAUGCCUCUUAGAAGAAAAGGUCAAUUCUCCCUGUUUUGUAGAGUCUGUAAAUAGAAGGCCCACGGGAUCGUGCAAAACAAAGUUGAGGGAAACCAGAGUGUCGUGGUGCCUUGCAAGGGUUUAUGACAACUUUGUCCCUGCAAUCUCACAGAGAUACAUGUACCCAUCCUUCAAAAUAG
rnacentral:lncRNA from 1 species